AAUGGCCGCGGUAUUUUGACCGUGCAAAGGUAGCAUAAUAAAUUGUCUACUAAAUGUGGACUAGAAUGAAAGGUUUGACGAGGUAUAAACUGUCUCUUUUGUAUUUAUAUUAGAACUUGAAUUUUAAGUUAAAAUGCUUUAAAUUUUAUUGUAGGACGAGAAGACCCUAUAGAGUUUUAUGUUAAUAGGUUUAAUUUAUAUUAGGAUUUUUUAAUUACAUUAAUUUUAUAUACAUUUUGUUGGGGUUGGGGUGACAGGAAGAUUAUCAUAACUCUUUUUUUUUAUUUACAUUAAUUAGUGAUUUUUUUAGUUGAUCCAGAUAUUCUGAUUAUAAGAUUAAAUUACCUUAGGGAUAACAGCGUAAUAUUUUUUGAGAGUUCUUAUCGACAAGAAAGAUUGCGACCUCGAUGUUGGAUUAAGGUUAAAUUUU
rnacentral:rRNA from 1 species